UACGUAGGCAGCGAGCGUUGUUCGGAGUUACUGGGCGUAAAGAGUGCGUAGGCGGUUUUCUAAGUUUGGUGUGAAAUCUCCCGGUUUAACUGGGAGGGUGCGCCGAAAACUGGAAGGCUUGAGUAUGGGAGAGGUAAGCGGAAUUCCUGGUGUAGCGGUGAAAUGCGUAGAUAUCAGGAGGAACACCUGCGGUGUAGACGGCUUACUGGACCAUAACUGACGCUGAGGCACGAAAGCGUGGGUAGCAAACAGG
rnacentral:rRNA from 1 species